GUGAGAUGUUUAGGUGUUUACAGGUGAGAUGUUUACAGGUGAGAUGUUAGGCGUUUACAGGUGAGAUGUUAAGGUGUUUACAGGUGAGAUGUUAGGUGUUUACAGGUGAGAUGUUAGGUGUUUACAGGUGAGGUGUUUACAGGUGAGAUGUUUACAGGUG